rnacentral:rRNA from 1 species
UACGAAGGGGGCUAGCGUUGCUCGGAAUGACUGGGCGUAAAGGGCGCGUAGGCGGCUCAUACAGUCAGAUGUGAAAUUCCUGGGCUUAACCUGGGGGCUGCAUUUGAUACGUGUGGGCUUGAGUGGGGAAGAGGGUCGUGGAAUUCCCAGUGUAGAGGUGAAAUUCGUAGAUAUUGGGAAGAACACCGGUGGCGAAGGCGGCGACCUGGUCCUUGACUGACGCUGAGGCGCGAAAGCUAGGGUAGCAAACGGG